rnacentral:rRNA from 1 species
GACGAACGCUGGCGGCGUGCCUAAUACAUGCAAGUAGAACGCUGAAGAGAGGAGCUUGCUCUUCUUGGAUGAGUUGCGAACGGGUGAGUAACGCGUAGGUAACCUGCCUGGUAGCGGGGGAUAACUAUUGGAAACGAUAGCUAAUACCGCAUAAAAUUGAUUAUUGCAUGAUAUUUAAUUGAAAGAUGCAACUGCAUCACUACCAGAUGGACCUGCGUUGUAUUAGCUAGUUGGUGAGGUAACGGCUCACCAAGGCGACGAUACAUAGCCGACCUGAGAGGGUGAUCGGCCACACUGGGACUGAGACACGGCCCAGACUCCUACGGGAGGCAGCAGUAGGGAAUCUUCGGCAAUGGGGGGAACCCUGACCGAGCAACGCCGCGUGAGUGAAGAAGGUUUUCGGAUCGUAAAGCUCUGUUGUAAGAGAAGAACGGGUGUGAGAGUGGAAAGUUCACACUGUGACGGUAUCUUACCAGAAAGGGACGGCUAACUACGUG